AACAACAAGAACGACAGUGGCGACAUCUAGUAAUGAGUUUUGAAUCUUAUGUCAGUUGCACAAUCACAGUCGCACAUACGUGACAUUACACGUCGUAACUUUCAUUACUUCAAAACAAAUUUAAAGGUUAAACAACGGAGAUCGGACAAUGAUUUAAGUGUUUUAAAUAAUUUCAGCUGAAGUUUUUGUGUACCUGGCCAACUAGGUGCUCGUGACAGUAGAAAUAAAAUGGUCUAAUCCCAAAGUGCUAGCUCGCAAUCUAUGUCUUCUGAAGCUAAAUAAUUUCUGCUUCAAGGUAUUUGAUCAUAUCAUGUUACAAAAAUUUAAUCAACUGUGUUCUUUAAGGUUUAAAAUGUUCACAUUAACUUUUCCCUGUCAAGUUUUGGUAAAUUUUCAAGAUAUUGAUGCCUUCGCCAGAUCCAAUUUUUACUCAGCUCACAUGUGUCCAGAUUACUCACGAGUCUCCAAAUCUCCAAUUUGAUGAUGGGUUUCGAAUCGCAGAAUGGGGACGAAGCAGGGAGACUCGUUUUAUUCACCAUGUCGAUAUAGCCGGCACAUCGCAGAGGAUUGAGACAUUUGGCGACUAAAUUCCAUAGAACAUUAAUUCUUUGUUUAUUAAAAAUUUCCGAGUAGACGUACGAAAAUAAUAUGGAUCGUAGUUCGUAAGUUUAUAACGGAUUCGUUUGAAACAAUAACGUAACAGAACGAAAAGCUGGUUUCAAAAUCAAACAGGAUUACUUUCCUCAUGACGAUCAGGAUCAUCCAUCCUACAAGUAAUGUAAUGAAGUAAAUUAAAAAUUUAUUUAAUAGUUAAAAGGAAAAAAAUAGCAAACCUGAAAAUGAAUAAGUCGUUCAUAUUAUUCAAUUGUUGGUUAUCCACUCCAAGUGGCGUGAGAAAAACAAAUUGACGGCCUGAUUUCUCACUUGCUUCAGUAACUAAUAACUCCAUGCAGAGCGACCGAUUAACGUGGUCCUACGCAAAGAAUAGGUAGUGAGGAAUCCAAAUCAGCUUUCUUAAAUAUUUGAGUUUAAAAUUUAAAAAAUAUACAUGGCAAAUGGUUUACCAUAAAUACGUCAAACUCAUCGAGGAUUCUGAAUGGGCUUUCGGUGGCCUCCCACAAGGACAAAAUGAAGCAAAUCGUCGUGAAAGACCGUUCCCCACCGCUUAAGGAUCGAAUGUCGGUUGCACCACUUUCACGACCGCGUUUAGCCGGUUGAGAGGAUUCAUCACGACCAGGUGGAACAACUAUCAUUGAAAGGGUUGAGAAAACAGAUUAGCUUACACUAUAGUGACGAGUUCUCAAAAGGGCCCGAAAUAUUUUGAAUGUUCUUGAUUCGAUGCAAUCGCGAAAUACGCUAAUGAAAUCUUUACGCUUCUUGCUCAUGUCCAUCAUUUUCUAU